UUUUGUCUCUAUUAGGUGAGGCUCCUAUACGGAGAGACGCUACUGCCCAGCAAUGUCGAGAGACGCCAAUGGGUCAACAGGAAAGAUCGGAGAGAAGGUCUUUCUUAAUGUAGCUGGUCAUAAAGACCUAUGCCGUAUAGUGCCAAAGCUCAAAUGAGGGGGACAACU
rnacentral:sRNA from 2 species